UCCCUGGUGGCUCAGAGGUUAAAGCGCCUGCCUCAAAUGAGGGAGAACUGGGUUUGAUCCCUGGCUCGGGAA
rnacentral:tRNA from 1 species